GGGAACCUCACCCGGCCCGGACACCGCGAGGAUUGACAGACUGAGAGCUCUUUCUCGAUUCGGUGGGUGGUGGUGCAUGGCCGUUCUUAGUUGGUGGAGCGAUCUGUCUGGUUAAUUCCGAUAACGAACGAGACCCCAACCUGCUAACUAGCCCUCGGGUCCUGCUUCUGUUGGGCCCGACGGAAUGAUUCGCUUCUUAGAGGGACUCGCGGAGCCUAGCCGCACGAAGGGGGGCGAUAA
rnacentral:rRNA from 1 species